rnacentral:rRNA from 1 species
AAAGGAAUUGACGGGGGCCCGCACAAGCGGUGGAGCAUGUGGCUCAAUUCGAGGCAACGCGAAGAACCUUACCUGGGUUUGACAUCAGGGGGACCGGGGAUGAAAGUUCCCUUUCCGCAAGGACCGCCUGACAGGUGCUGCAUGGCUGUCGUCAGCUCGUGUCGUGAGAUGUUCGGUUAAGUCCGGCAACGAGCGCAACCCGUACCGUCUGUUACCAGCGGGUAAAGCCGGGGACUCUGACGGGACUGCCCGUGUUAAGCGGGAGGAAGGUGCGGAUGACGUCAAGUCAGUAUGGCCCUUACAUCCAGGGCUGCACACGUGCUACAAUGGCCGGUACAAUGGGGUGCAAGACCGCGAGGUGGAGCAAAUCCUGAAAACCGGCCCCAGUUCAGAUUGAAGUCUGCAACUCGACUUCAUGAAGCCGGAAUCGCUAGUAAAGGCGUAUCAGCUACGACGCCUUGAAUACGUUCCCGGGCCUUGUACACACCGCCCGU